rnacentral:rRNA from 1 species
AUUGAACGCUGGCGGAAUGCUUUACACAUGCAAGUCGAACGGUAACAGGUCUUCGGAUGCUGACGAGUGGCGAACGGGUGAGUAAUAUAUCGGAACGUGCCCAGUCGUGGGGGAUAACGUAGCGAAAGUUACGCUAAUACCGCAUACGAUCUAAGGAUGAAAGCGGGGGACUCGCAAGAGCCUCGCGCGAUUGGAGCGGCCGAUAUCAGAUUAGGUAGUUGGUGGGGUAAAGGCUCACCAAGCCAACGAUCUGUAGCUGGUCUGAGAGGACGACCAGCCACACUGGAACUGAGACACGGUCCAGACUCCUACGGGAGGCAGCAGUGGGGAAUUCUGGACAAUGGGCGCAAGCCUGAUCCAGCAAUGCCGCGUGCAGGAAGAAGGCCUUCGGGUUGUAACUAGCUUUGUUACGGAGCGAAAAGGUACUUCCCUAUACGGAGGCGUGAUGACGGUACCGUAAGAAUAAGCACCGGCUAACUACGUG